rnacentral:rRNA from 1 species
UGACAGUACCUGGUAAAGAAACCCCGGCUAACUCCGUGCCAGCAGCCGCGGUAAUACGGAGGGGGUUAGCGUUGUUCGGAAUUACUGGGCGUAAAGCGCGCGUAGGCGGACCAGAAAGUAUGGGGUGAAAUCCCGGGGCUCAACCCCGGAACUGCCUCCAAAACUUCUGGUCUGGAGUUCGAGAGAGGUGAGUGGAAUUCCGAGUGUAGAGGUGA